CCGUUUGUAGUCCAAUGAUUAGGCUAAUUGUCUUCCAAACAAUAGAUCCGGGUUCGACUCCCGGCAGACGCA
rfam:Picea glauca, whole genome shotgun sequence.